rnacentral:rRNA from 1 species
GACGAACGCUGGCGGCGUGCUUAACACAUGCAAGUCGAACGGAAAGGCCCUGCUUUUGUGGGGUGCUCGAGUGGCGAACGGGUGAGUAACACGUGAGUAACCUGCCCUUGACUUUGGGAUAACUUCAGGAAACUGGGGCUAAUACCGGAUAGGAGCUCCUGCUGCAUGGUGGGGGUUGGAAAUUUUCGGCGGUUGGGGAUGGACUCGCGGCUUAUCAGCUUGUUGGUGGGGUUGUGGCUUACCAAGGCUUUGACGGGUAGCCGGCCUGAGAGGGUGACCGGCCACAUUGGGACUGAGAUACGGCCCAGACUCCUACGGGAGGCAGCAGUGGGGAAUAUUGCACAAUGGGCGGAAGCCUGAUGCAGCAACGCCGCGUGCGGGAUGACGGCCUUCGGGUUGUAAACCGCUUUCGCCUGUGACGAAGCGUGAGUGACGGUAAUGGGUAAAGAAGCACCGGCUAACUACGUG